AUUGAACGCUGGCGGCAUGCUUUACACAUGCAAGUCGAACGGUAACAGGGAGCUUGCUCCGCUGACGAGUGGCGAACGGGUGAGUAAUAUAUCGGAACGUACCCAGAAGUGGGGGAUAACGUAGCGAAAGUUACGCUAAUACCGCAUACGAUCUACGAAUGAAAGUAGGGGACCUUCGGUCCUUAUGCUUUUGGAGCGGCCGAUAUCUGAUUAGCUAGUUGGUGAGGUAAAGGCUCACCAAGGCGACGAUCAGUAGCUGGUCUGAGAGGACGACCAGCCACACUGGAACUGAGACACGGUCCAGACUCCUACGGGAGGCAGCAGUGGGGAAUUUUGGACAAUGGGCGCAAGCCUGAUCCAGCAAUGCCGCGUGAGUGAAGAAGGCCUUCGGGUUGUAAAGCUCUUUUGUCAGGGAAGAAACGGUAGAGGCUAAUAUCCUUUGCUAAUGACGGUACCUGAAGAAUAAGCACCGGCUAACUACGUGCCAGCAGCCGCAGUAAGAC
rnacentral:rRNA from 1 species